rnacentral:lncRNA from 1 species
GGUUCGUUCUAGGGCACCAUCGGAAACCCUAGGGAUUUGGGCGGUGUGCGGCGAUCGACUCUAGUAGCCGGAUUGCAACGAGCAAGAACAACGUGGAACAAAUUGAUACAGGUUGUUGACGAAUCAACGAGUUCGUAAAACAAGACGAGAUCCGAUCUUGGUAAUCGUAAUACAUUCCGCAGCGAAAGAGGUAUGUAAAAAUCUAUGUGAUUUUUGCGCAUUAAUUUGGGUAUUAAUUUUAUCCAACAGUGGUAUCAGAGCACAGCCAAUGCUUGUUUUCGCUUGAUGAUCCGUUUUUAAUAUGGAUAGAUCUUUGAUCUUUAAUUAUUCUUUUUUCAACAAUAUAUUUGCAUUGAUUCGUAUAAAGAAAAAAAAAACCGGCAAUUUUUUGAGUCGCAAUUGGCAAGACUCUGCUCAAUUUUAAAGGUGCAUGAUAGUCCUGCAGCGGGACUGGCCUGCGUGGCGGCGCACCUGCGCAUUGGAUUGGGCCACACACGGGAUUGGCCUGCUUGCGCAUUGGACGCAGGAGCCGUCUCUAUUACAUUAAAAAGAAAAAAAAGGAGAGGGUUGCUAUUGGCAGUGGGAUUUGAACCCACAACAACCUCAACAUAUAAGAUUCUAACUUCAGCUAACCACCUUUGCCAGUUUGCUUUUAUGCAAAUUUGUGCAAACUAAUGCUUAAUAUACUGUCUACGAUACAUGUUAUGAUGCUUCUCAAAUUAUAUUAUGCUUAUUAAUUAAUUUGAGAUGUGGAUUUAUUCUUGAUCAAUUUGAUAUAUUAUUUUAAUCUGCAUUGGAUGAGAUGAUUAUUAGUUUUUUCCAAAGGCGAAAUUUUCAAUUUGAAGAUGCGGUGAGAAAUUUUAUUAUCAGAUUAGAUUAAGAAUAAAAUUUGUGGAUAUUUGUGCCUAAUUUAAAAUUAUGUGCAUUAUUGUAGUGAUAUAUGGUUUCAAAAAAUAUUUCCAUCGCGGAUUUACUAAAGCAAGAUGGGCUUGAUGGAAUGAAUUAUGACAUGUGGCAUAAAAAAAUUCAAUAUCUCCUUAAUGAGAAAGGUAUUAAUAUUUUGCUAAUAGAUAUAUUUGUUAUCAUUCUUUAUUCAUACAUCUUUUUUGAAUUCUAAAUUAGUGCACAAUCUUAUUUUAUGAGAAUGAUUGUCACCAGGCCCUUGAUCAGCCCUCUCACAUGGGUGAUCGCCCUGUUGUUAGGAGAGUGAGCAGGAUGAGACAAAUAAGAUCACAUAAAUGCAGUUAGUAAUGCAGGUGAUCCAUUUCGUGCUAAAUGAGCAUGCAAGUGUUUCAAUCGUGUAUGUCGCCUUAGAUGAGCUAAGAUGAGACUAUAUGAAGUCGACAGUAGAGAUGGUCCACGACUCUACUUGGCCUGUAUGAAGCCGAAUGUAAAGAAGGCACUAUGUGGGUGACUGUCUUGAGGUUUGUUGUGUUGAGUUGCAACAGAAUCGACAUUCGUAUGGUGUUUUGAGCGUGACAUAUCCUUAGAGGUAACUUCACCAUAGCAUACGUUCAUACCGUAUGUGCAAGAUCUAUCACUAUUUUAGAGAGUGGCGAAAUUGAUCCCUGUUACGUCGCUGUGUGAGCUUUGUGUACCAUUUGGGACUUAGAACCAUAUUAUGAAGUGGAUACUUAGUGAUGCUACUUUAAUAUGAUAUCCAAGGGGUAUGAUUGAUUCGGUCUAGCGGAACAUGUCUAGGAAAGUGGUCAAGUUGAAAUGGAUUGGCAUGAGGAAUCUGAGGAAAAAUCAUCUGAUAAUACAGUUAUGAUUUGUGACUUACAGCCUGGGCGAUUAUGUUGAUAUUUGUUGUCAAUAUAACAUGAGUGCAAAUGCAUUGAUGUGAGAGAUGUUAUGAUUUGGUGUUGUUCAGUGAUUUGGGGUAUAGACGAGAUUUGGAGUUGUAUUGUUAUGUUAGUUGGAUGGUGGCUUAAUAUAACACUCAUCACUUUUAAUUCUUCUCGUUAUUGAUCGCACCAACCGUUUUUCGUAUGAAGAGCAGAACAAGAUGAGAAUAUAUUUGGGAUGAGAAUAUAUAAAUAAGUACUAAGUGUGUACGAGUGGGAGAUGUUGGAAUUCGUCCACAUUAGGACUUAUCUAAAUUAUUCCUAAUCCAUAUGGGAUAAGAAAUAAAUAUUGAUAAUUAUCUAAGAUAUUCCUAGUAUGCAUAGGAUGAGAAAUAAAUUUAAGAGAUAGAUCCUAAUCUAUUUAAAUCUCUAUGUGAGAUUCAGUUAGAAUAGGAUUAGGAUUAACGUCUCCUUUAUGGCCUAUAAAUACAUGAGGUAUUGGCCACACAUGAGACACAAGAAAAAUUAAUUUAAUCUCUCCACAAAAGGCUUUGUCGGGUUCGUUAUAGGGCACCAUCAGAAAGCAUAGGGAUUUGGGUGGUGUGUGGCGAUCGACUCUAGUAGCCGGAUUGCAACAAGCAAGAACAACGUGCAACAAAUUGAGACAAGUUGUUGGCGAAUCAACGAGUUCGUAAAACAAGACGAGAUCCGAUCCUGGUAAUCAUAAUACAUUCCGCAGCGAAGAGGUAUGUAAAAAUCUAUGUGAUUUUUGCGCAUUAAUUUGGGUAUU